GGAAAUAAGCCUAGGACCGCAUAGUGCCAGGGACAAGGUGGACACCCAGAAAAUGUUACCACACAUGUCCACCUCCACCAGGAUCACCACCACCGCUGCUUUUAAUAACCAAUCCCUUAUCCCCAGAAUCUCCACUGCCGCUGCUUAUACUAACCGAUCCCUUACCCCCAGAAUGUCCACUGCCAUUGCUUAUAAUAACCAAUCCCUUACCCCCAGAAUGUCCACCGCCGCUGCUUAUAACCAAUCCCUUACCCCCAGAAUGUCCACCACCACUACUAAUAAUAACACCAGAAUGUCCAACUUGACUUAGGGAAAUCCUUUCUUCCCCAGUCCUUCUGCCAUCCUCUCCAAACGUGUGGGCUUGCCAAGAGCUGAAGGGAAAGGGGUUGGGAAGACACUCGACCCUUAACUUAAAAGGAACAGCAACUGGAGAACAGCGUCUUCUAAGCGCAUCACGGCUUCUCUCAUUGAAGGCUCACAACCAGCUCUAACAGAGGACAGGGUCGCACCCCAAAUGCCAUCUCAGGCAAAGGCCUGGGCACGGUCCAGGCAGAAGGGCCGCUGGCUGUAGACAUGCACGUGGUGUGUCUACACAUGGGCACGGACCUACACGUGAGUGUCAGCGGAAUCACAGCUCAGUCUGAUUCAAGCCUGUGACCGAGUCACCAUUCAGUGGGGGCCAACAAGUACUCUAAUGAGAGGUUCUUUUAAUUAUUUUGGAGAUAGGGUCUCUGUCAGCCAGGCUGGAGUACAGUGGUACAGGUCAUGGCUCACUGCAGCCUCAACUUGCUGGGCUCAAGCGAUCCUCCCGCCUCAGCCUCUCAAGUAGCUGGAACUACACAGGCUUGCACCACCAUGCCCAGAAACAGGACAUUUCCUGAACAGCCUGGUUGGCCAGAGUCCUAAGAUGCUUGAUGUUCAACAGUGAAUGCCAUCUCUGCAGCCAGAGGCUCUUUCUUACCAGGCACAAUCAUAGCCUCUUAACAAACUCUCUCUGGUCUCCCAUCAGCAACCCUGCAAGAUUUCAAGGGAAGAGGCUGAGCACCCAGCAAAUCCAGGUUACAACUCACAGAAAGAGAACUGCCCUGAUCCUCACCCGCCAGUAAAAUGUUAAGGCCAGCCAGGCGCGAUGGCUCACACCUGUAAUCCCAGCACUUUGGGAGGCCGAGGCGAGCGGAUCACGAGGUCAGGAGAUCGAGACCAUCCUGGCCAACAUGGUGAAACCCCCGUCUCUACUAAAAUGCAAAAAAGUAGCGGGGCAUGGUGAUGCAUGCCUGUAGUCCUAGCUACUCGGGAGGCUGAGGCAGGGGAGUCGAUUGAACCCGGGAAGUGGAGGUUGCAGUGAGCCGAGAUUGUGCCACUGCACUCCAGCCUGGUGACAGAGUGAGACUCCGUCUCAAAAAAAAAAAAAAAAAAGAAGGCCGCCGCCUACAGACCCCUGCCUGGCGUUAUGGACUGAAUUGUAUCUCCCAAAAUUCAUGUUGAAGCCCCAGCCCACCCCAUGGGACUACCUUUAGCGACAGGGCCUUUAAGGAGGUGAUUAAGGUUGUUAAGGUUGAAUGAGGCCACAGGAGUGGGGCUGGAAUCCAACAAAACUGGUGACCUUAGAAGAAGAGACCCCAGGAGUGUGCACACACACACACAGAAAGGGCCCUGUGAGGACAGCCAGAAGGUGGUGUCUGCAAGCCAGAAGGUGGUGUCUGCAAGCCAAGGAAGAACCUCAGGAAGAAGUUCAGGAAGGCCUCAGGAAGAACCAACCCUGACGGCAGCUUGAUCCGGGACUUCCAGCCUCCAGAACUAUGAGAAAUAAACUUCUGCUGUUUAAGCCACCCAGCCUGUGGCAUUCCAUUCCGGCAGCCAGCGCUGGCUAAGACACCUGGGUUGUCAUAAGCAGGGCUGAAGAGGGAGCCAAUGAGAAGAAAGGGAAGGAAACUCCAGCCCCAAUGUCUAUCUUUUCUUUAAGUGCCAAGGCUGGGCUUGGAAGCCACACAUUCCUCCUUCCUCUCUGCUCUCCUCAACCCAAUUCCAGAAACUGUGGGUAGGUGGAAGAAAGAGCUGUGAAUUCAGUUGUCUCAGGGUGGAAUCCGGGCCUUGACCCUAACUCACCCCGUCAUAUGGGGCCAGGUACCCAGACUCAUUGGCCUGCCGCCUCCAAAACCACAAAACAGGAAACGUGUCUGCAUUUUGCAGCCUUUGUGUGAGCAUUGCAAGAGAGGAGCUGCCUCAGCCGUGUGGCAGGGAGCCUAGCCCGGGGGGGCACCCAAGAAAUGCCAGCCCCUUCUCCACCCGCAGUGUGCACCUCCCCCAACCUCUGUGAGGUCUCUACCCCUGAAACACAGGUACACAGCCCCGUCAUUCUAGGACAGAAUGCCAGCCUUCUGUUCCAUCUAAGGCCAGGCAGCCUGGCGACACAGGUUUCUUAAAAGGUCCGUUUUGAUCAACCCACUUGAUAAGUCCAUCCUCCAGGUAGACGUCAGCAUAAAGGGAUUGGUCAUCGUUGA
rnacentral:lncRNA from 1 species